rnacentral:rRNA from 1 species
CCGAAAGGCGUAGUCGAUGGGAAACAGGUUAAUAUUCCUGUACUUGGUGUUACUGCGAAGGGGGGACGGAGAAGGCUAUGUUAGCCGGGCGACGGUUGUCCCGGUUUAAGCAUGUAGGCGGAGGUUCCAGGUAAAUCCGGUACCUUUUUAACGCUGAGGUGUGAUGACGAGGCACUACGGUGCUGAAGUAACAAAUGCCCUGCUUCCAGGAAAAGCCUCUAAGCAUCAGGUAACAUUAAAUCGUACCCCAAACCGACACAGGUGGUCAGGUAGAGAAUACCAAGGCGCUUGAGAGAACUCGGGUGAAGGAACUAGGCAAAAUGGUGCCGUAACUUCGGGAGAAGGCACGCUGAUAUGUAGGUGAAGCCCCUGCGGGUGGAGCUGAAAUCAGUCGAAGAUACCAGCUGGCUGCAACUGUUUAUUAAAAACACAGCACUGUGCAAACACGAAAGUGGACGUAUACGGUGUGACGCCUGCCCGGUGCCGGAAGGUUAAUUGAUGGGGUUAUCCGUAAGGAGAAGCUCUUGAUCGAAGCCCCGGUAAACGGCGGCCGUAACUAUAACGGUCCUAAGGUAGCGAAAUUCCUUGUCGGGUAAGUUCCGACCUGCACGAAUGGCGUAAUGAUGGCCAGGCUGUCUCCACCCGAGACUCAGUGAAAUUGAACUCGCUGUGAAGAUGCAGUGUACCCGCGGCAAGACGGAAAGACCCCGUGAACCUUUACUAUAGCUUGACACUGAACAUUGAGCCUUGAUGUGUAGGAUAGGUGGGAGGCUUUGAAGCGUGGACGCCAGUCUGCGUGGAGCCAACCUUGAAAUACCACCCUUUAAUGUUUGAUGUUCUAACGUUGGCCCCUUAUCGGGGUUGCGGACAGUGUCUGGUGGGUAGUUUGACUGGGGCGGUCUCCUCCCAAAGAGUAACGGAGGAGCACGAAGGUUAGCUAAUCCUGGUCGGACAUCAGGAGGUUAGUGCAAUGGCAUAAGCUAGCUUGACUGCGAGCGUGACGGCGCGAGCAGGUGCGAAAGCAGGUCAUAGUGAUCCGGUGGUUCUGAAUGGAAGGGCCAUCGCUCAACGGAUAAAAGGUACUCCGGGGAUAACAGGCUGAUACCGCCCAAGAGUUCAUAUCGACGGCGGUGUUUGGCACCUCGAUGUCGGCUCAUCACAUCCUGGGGCUGAAGUAGGUCCCAAGGGUAUGGCUGUUCGCCAUUUAAAGUGGUACGCGAGCUGGGUUUAGAACGUCGUGAGACAGUUCGGUCCCUAUCUGCCGUGGGCGCUGGAGAAUUGAGGGGGGCUGCUCCUAGUACGAGAGGACCGGAGUGGACGCAUCACUGGUGUUCGGGUUGUCAUGCCAAUGGCAUUGCCCGGUAGCUAAAUGCGGAAGAGAUAAGUGCUGAAAGCAUCUAAGCACGAAACUUGCCCCGAGAUGAGUUCUCCCUGACUCCUUGAGAGUCCUGAAGGAACGUUAAAGACGAUGACGUUGAUAGGUCGGGUGUGUAAGCGUAGCGAUACGUUGAGCUAACCGAUACUAAUGAACCGUGAGGCUUAACCUU